UCGCAAUUGCCUGCUGUGCGACUGUUGUCCUGCACGACACACUUUUUUUGCGCUGUUUUCUGCUCUCGUUCAUUGCUUGAAGAGUUUCUAAAUUGCAGAAAAAUUGCAAUGCAAGAGCUGAGGUCAACAGAUGUAGUCAGAAGACAACAUUUCUUCUCCUGGUUUGACAUGAAAGCGGCUGCAGUAGCGACGAUCCUUUUGGGUCUGUUCCAACUGCUCCUGUCUGCUCCACUGGUUUAUACUGGCCAAAGUCUUCCAAAUUUCUUCAUACUCCCCCUUGUUUCAGGAAUUAUUAUUGUGGCAGGUGGAUCAUUUACCAUGGCAAAAAAGAGGAAUUCUGGCGGAUUUUGGCUUCAAGCUUGGGCCUUCAGUAAUGGAGUAGGCUUGCUGUGUGCCCUGCUUGCCUUCUGUAUUUACUGCUUCCACCUCAGCAGUGUAAAAAGCAAAGAUCCAUGCCCGAGAGAGUCCAUUGAUGAAUAUGGUUGUCCUGAGGAAGUCCUGCUUGCAUACUGCUGGGGUGUGACACUGCUGCUCCUGCUUUAUGACAUUGGUGCCAUUAUCCUCCACUUCCUCAUGUCAGUCUACGCUCUCAAAGCCCUCAAAUCCAACUGAUAUCUGGACACAGGCACACUCAUGUACAGAGAAAUAUUAAACAGAAACAACAACUUUUCUUAUUUGUAUACAAGUACAGAUUGACUGGCUAAUUGAUCAUAUAAAAUGUAACAGAGCAUGAAUGAAAUUUAUUUCUGACUAGUGGUGCAGCCUAUGGGUCACUGAGCCUAAUAUAAAAACAUAGAGCAUUGUAUUGACUUGUAAUUAUUAACACAUUAAACGGACAGAACCUUGGUUCACCAGCAUAAAAAAAAGUUCAGUCUGAAGUUAAAAAAGGUUUUCUUGUCUUACCCCUUCUCUAUAAACACAUAUUACAGUAAUGAAAAUGAGUCAAAACAAAAAAGAAAAA